rnacentral:rRNA from 1 species
GACGAACGCUGGCGGCGUGCUUAACACAUGCAAGUCGAACGGAAAGGCCCUGCUUUUGUGGGGUGCUCGAGUGGCGAACGGGUGAGUAACACGUGAGUAACCUGCCCUUGACUUUGGGAUAACUUCAGGAAACUGGGGCUAAUACCGGAUAGGAGCUCCUGCUGCAUGGUGGGGGUUGGAAAGUUUCGGCGGUUGGGGAUGGACUCGCGGCUUAUCAGCUUGUUGGUGGGGUAGUGGCUUACCAACGCUUUGACGGGUAGCCGGCCUGAGAGGGUGACCGGCCACAUUGGGACUGAGAUACGGCCCAGACUCCUACGGGAGGCAGCAGUGGGGAAUAUUGCACAAUGGGCGGAAGCCUGAUGCAGCAACGCCGCGUGCGGGAUGACGGCCUUCGGGUUGUAAACCGCUUUCGCCUGUGACGAAGCGUGAGUGACGGUAAUGGGUAAAGAAGCACCGGCUAACUACGUG